AAAGUGACUAAUCUCGUUGGUUGAGGCAAUAUUGGUCAAAUUAACUGUGACAUUGGUAACUAUUAAACAAACAAAUUGGUUAUCUAACAACUAAUAUCAUUGGUUAAGAACAAAUUGGUUGAUUUAACAAAGAUAUUGGUUAACUUUAAUAACAGAUUGGUUGAAAAAUGACUAAUAUCAUUGGUUAAGCAAAUGUUAACUAAGAGAUUGGUAACUGACGCAGGUCUGACGCUCAACGUCAAGUACGUAACUCUGCUUCUCAAUUUUCUGACAAAGCCGCCAUCUUGGUGCUGCAGGAAAGCCGUUUGAGAUAUUGGUGGAAUUCAAACACUUUGUGAGAUGACAGAAUAUUGCUGAAGGAUCCUACAUGGAAGCUGGCUGAUUACACGGAGUGAUUCCUCUGGUGUGGUGUACCUCAGAGAAAUAAACACUGUUGCAAGAGGUGAGAAGAUAUCCUUAUUGCUGGAUGGUUGCUCUCUGGUCGUACUUGAGCCCCCUGGACCAUGUCUGCAAAUGCUUCUGAACAUUGACAGAAUUUCUAAAGGAUCGCUGAGGACUCCCCCUCCAUGCGUGACAUCUUUGAGAAAUUUCCACGCUUUCUGGAGAUGCCAAGUUUGGUACGUCUGCCAGACAUUUUU